GGUCAAUGUGUCCACAACUUCUGUGUCCUAAGUACUGAACAUCAUCUAUCCCAAUGCUGUAUUUGUCAAGCUUCAUUGUCAGUUCAAUGGCCCUAAUUCGGUCAAAUACAUUGCCCAAGUGCUGCAAGUGUUUCUCCCAGGUGUAACUGUAGACCGAUCUACCGUCUAUUGGAACGUGGCAGGGGAAUUUUUCUAUCCUAUACAGCGUAUCCCAAAAUGGAUACAGUCCAAAC